rnacentral:lncRNA from 1 species
CUCUCUCUUGGGUAAUACUUUCGUGAUAAGGGCAAUUAAUGUUCAAUAAGGCCUGCAAUAUCUAUUCAAGCCCCCACUCAAGUCAAUAGUGAAAAUGGAAUUUAAUGUACAAAUAAGGCCUGAGAUUUUAAAUAAAACCCACACACGGGAAACACAUAAUAAAUAUUCUAUCAAGUCAACAAUAAUAUACAAAAAGGCCCCCCCACGGGGAUACGAUAAAAAUAAUUCUCUCAAAAUAUAAAUUUCAUGGAUAAUCUCCAACUCAUAGCAUACUUUACAUCUUUGUUCACUAUUCAGCCCAAUCAAAAAAAAGUUAAGCCAUAACCUACAGCGAAAAGCUAAAUAGUCAAGCCAAAGCCUUCAACGUGGAGCCUUUCCUUAAUGAACAUUCUCAAUACAAAAUAAAACUAUCAAAAAUGUGAUUUAUGAGUCAAAUGAAAGAUAAUGAUAUGAAUAUUAGAUAUUUUCUAAUGGGUCCAAAUUUAGUUCGAAAAAUGGGCUCAAAAACAAAAAGGGUAAAACCAAAAUUUUACUAUAGAAACAUAUUCCCCAAGAUCAUACAAUUCUUCAAUUGAAAAUCCACAAAAAAUGAGUUGUUAUUGAUGUCCAAAUCAAAGAAAACCCAUUUUAAAGCUUUACCAGCAAAAAUCCUAAAAAUCAUAUUUGAAAUCGAGGUUUUGAAGUAAUUUUAAAGAUAAAAUCAAUAAAAAUUAGUGGAAAUAAGAGUUUGGAGCUUACCCAAGCUCAAAUGGUGAAGAAAAUCCUAAGAAUUGUCUUUUUCUGAAACACCAACGUCCAAAAUGAUGAAAAAAUUCAAAAAAUGAGUAUUUAUACUUCCAAUGAACAGCACCUCGCGAAUGCUUUGACGAGGGUUAAUAUUGACUAGGCCACUUACUUGGCCUUCAUGUUUGCAGUCAACUUUUCACAUUCAUGAAAAUUGACAACUAGGACACAUCAAGUUCACGAUAGCCUGGUCGUGCUCGUGAUGAAGAAAAAUGCCCAAUUCAAUCCCGACUAUACUUUGUGAUCACGAUGAAGGAUAAUAUCCUUCUUUGCAUUCGUGAAGAAGUAUUUUACCUGCACCAGGUACCAGCAAAAUGUUGAGUUUUGCAUAUUGAAAAUGUCUCUGAACAGACUCUCAAAAAUUUUUUGGGACCCACAAAAAUAAAGCAAAUAUAUAACUAGGCUAUUUUCAACAUUUUGGGCUUAAGGUAAUAUCAAAAUUUCAAAAAGAAGUCAUUUACAACAAAUUAGAUCCUAGGACCCUUAAAAGCUUAAUUUAACUAGUUUUCCAAAAAGAGAGUCGAAAUGAAAAAUAAAGUUUCUGAAUCCAAAACAAUCCCGCUACUAAUCCAAAAUCAACAUUUUAAAUCUAAUGGAACUAUCCAAUUGUCAUCUAGUGCUUGAAACAUAAAAUAUUAAUCAAAGUCAAACUAAAGGCUUUCAAAGUCUUUCAGAGUCUCAAACUCUCCAAAAUUAUUCACUAAUGCAUCAGAGAUUGUGUCAACCAUUUCCACACACAUAACCAUCAUGUAAUAACUACGGAAGGAGAAAAGUAAUAAAAAUAUAUAAAAAUAAAAUUUCACUCUUUAGGUUGUUAUAGUUGGGAAUUUUAAUAUAUAUCAUGAACUGUAUGUAACCAGAUAUAGCAUGUCCUAUUAGUAAAUUAAGUCAGUUCUCAAGUAAUCCCAAUCAAUCUCAUUGAAUGAUAAUGAAAAAAAGUGUUGGGGUAUCAUAUAGUAGUACUAUGUUUUACAUUAUAACAAAUAUUCAACACAAAUUGAAGGAUAAAGUGAUGCAAAUUGGAUCACCAAUCAAAUGAAGUAGAAUCCACAAGUGGAUAUGUAUUUACUUUUGGUAGAAGAGCAGUUUCAUGGAAAUAAUUCAAAUAGAAAUGUAUUUCUCACUCUAUGAUGGAAUCUGAAUUUAUCGUUUUAGAUAAGGUCGGUGAAGAAGUUGAAUGGCUUCAAAUUUUCUUGUAAGAUAUUUCUUUCUUACCGUAACCUUUGGCGCCGAUAUGCCUACAUUGUGAUAGUCAAUCUAUAAUAGGCAGGGCAGGAAGCAUGAUGUACAACGAAAAAUCUCAUCACACAAGAAGGAGACAUAAUACCGUUAGACAACUACUCUCUAGUGGAAUUAUGACGAUAAUUGACUAUGUGAAGUCAAAGAAUAAUAUGUCAAAUCCACUAAGAAAAGGCCUAACUAGAGAGGAAGUUGAGAGAUCUUCAUAAGAAAUGGAUUUAAGGCCGAUGAUAAGUCAGCACGGUGGUAACUCUACCUAGCAUACUAGAGAUCCCAAAGCUAAAUACAAGGAUAUCAAACAAAGUUAUAACUGACAGUUCUAAAUUAUCAAAUGAAAAGUUCAACCCAUUCUCAUGAUGAAGAUAAUGUUCAUUAAAGAUGGAUAAGACUUAAGGUUGAAGCUUUUUUAUGUUUGACAGGUAUGACCAAAUAGUUCAUCUAUAGGAUUAUACAUUUAGAAAUCACCUAUGUGUGUGUAAAGUGAAAGAUGCUUCAAGGAGAAUGAUAGUAAAGGCCUAUUCUCUAAGCUCUCAUGAAAUCAAGAGUGUUCAUAGAUGAAAUGAACAAAAUUGUGAGAACUACAAAUGGUAAAAAGCUAGUUGUGUGACUAGUAUUAUCUAGGUGUAUGACAAAGUUCAACGAUUCAAAAAAUAUUGCAUUUACUGAUUGAUCGUGUGCAUUUGAUAUAAGUUCACUACGAAAAUUUUAAAAGAAAACUGACUUAUCCAGAUGUAAUUAGUCUUUUCUUGUAAUCACACACGAACAUAUAUUUUUUUAUUAGAUAGUUAUUCCCCAUUCAGUGAGGGUUGUUGGGUUCAAGUAUUGAAAUGUGAAUUGAAAAUGAAGAAAAAGUAAAAAUAUGUAUUCACUUUAUGGAAAAAGUAUUCUUCCACAUUGGUUGGAAAAAAGGUAUUUUCUUAUGCUUAAAUAUAGAAGCAUUACUCCAUAUGGAUAGUAAGGCAAGAAAAAAGAAAAACCUCGCACUGUCUUCGUUGUCGCUCGGCUCGACUUCAGCUUCCAGUUUGGAUUUGGAUUUAGAUUUAGAUUCAGAUUUGGAUAAAAUUCAUUUGAAAUUUAAGUGGUAAUGAUUUCUUAAUCCAAUAAUCCAAUAUAAAAAAAAUUCUCCAUUUGUAAAUGCACAUGAGUAUGUGUGUAUGCAUGUCAUAAUGCAUAUAGAAGGCACGCGAUCCUUUAGUUUACCAUUUGAAUGACGAAAAAGGAAGUGUGGAUGAAGUUGGCCAAGUAGGGUGCAUUUGGU